rnacentral:rRNA from 1 species
AGAGUUUGAUCCUGGCUCAGGAUGAACGCUGGCGGCGUGCCUAAUACAUGCAAGUCGAGCGAACAGACAAGGAGCUUGCUCCUUUGACGUUAGCGGCGGACGGGUGAGUAACACGUGGGUAACCUACCUAUAAGACUGGGAUAACUUCGGGAAACCGGAGCUAAUACCGGAUAAUAUUUCGAACCGCAUGGUUCGAUAGUGAAAGAUGGUUUUGCUAUCACUUAUAGAUGGACCCGCGCCGUAUUAGCUAGUUGGUAAGGUAACGGCUUACCAAGGCGACGAUACGUAGCCGACCUGAGAGGGUGAUCGGCCACACUGGAACUGAGACACGGUCCAGACUCCUACGGGAGGCAGCAGUAGGGAAUCUUCCGCAAUGGGCGAAAGCCUGACGGAGCAACGCCGCGUGAGUGAUGAAGGUCUUCGGAUCGUAAAACUCUGUUAUUAGGGAAGAACAUACGUGUAAGUAACUAUGCACGUCUUGACGGUACUUAAUCAGAAAGCCACGGCUAACUACGUGCCAGCAGCCGCGGUAAUACGUAGGUGGCAAGCGUUAUCCGGAAUUAUUGGGCGUAAAGCGCGCGUAGGCGGUUUUUUAAGUCUGAUGUGAAAGCCCACGGCUCAACCGUGGAGGGUCAUUGGAAACUGGAAAACUUGAGUGCAGAAGAGGAAAGUGGAAUUCCAUGUGUAGCGGUGAAAUGCGCAGAGAUAUGGAGGAACACCAGUGGCGAAGGCGACUUUCUGGUCUGUAACUGACGCUGAUGUGCGAAAGCGUGGGGAUCAAACAGGAUUAGAUACCCUGGUAGUCCACGCCGUAAACGAUGAGUGCUAAGUGUUAGGGGGUUUCCGCCCCUUAGUGCUGCAGCUAACGCAUUAAGCACUCCGCCUGGGGAGUACGACCGCAAGGUUGAAACUCAAAGGAAUUGACGGGGACCCGCACAAGCGGUGGAGCAUGUGGUUUAAUUCGAAGCAACGCGAAGAACCUUACCAAAUCUUGACAUCCUUUGACAACUCUAGAGAUAGAGCCUUCCCCUUCGGGGGACAAAGUGACAGGUGGUGCAUGGUUGUCGUCAGCUCGUGUCGUGAGAUGUUGGGUUAAGUCCCGCAACGAGCGCAACCCUUAAGCUUAGUUGCCAUCAUUAAGUUGGGCACUCUAAGUUGACUGCCGGUGACAAACCGGAGGAAGGUGGGGAUGACGUCAAAUCAUCAUGCCCCUUAUGAUUUGGGCUACACACGUGCUACAAUGGACAAUACAAAGGGCAGCGAAACCGCGAGGUCAAGCAAAUCCCAUAAAGUUGUUCUCAGUUCGGAUUGUAGUCUGCAACUCGACUACAUGAAGCUGGAAUCGCUAGUAAUCGUAGAUCAGCAUGCUACGGUGAAUACGUUCCCGGGUCUUGUACACACCGCCCGUCACACCACGAGAGUUUGUAACACCCGAAGCCGGUGGAGUAACCAUUUGGAGCUAGCCGUCGAAGGUGGGACAAAUGAUUGGGGUGAAGUCGUAACAAGGUAGCCGUAUCGGAAGGUGCGGCUG